AAUGAGACAACUAUCCACAAAAGACCAAAAUGACACAGACAUUAACAACUAUAGGUCACCGUACGGCCUUCACCAAUGAGCAAAGCCCAUACCGCAUAGUCAGCUAUAAAAGGCCCCGAACUGACAAUGUAAAACAAUUCAAACGAGAAACUAACGGCCUUAUUUAUGUAAAAAAAUAAACGAAAAACAGAUAUGUAACACAUAAACAAACGAC
rnacentral:lncRNA from 1 species